UCUGAUGUUAGCGGCGGACGGGUGAGUAACACGUGGAUAACCUACCUAUAAGACUGGGAUAACUUCGGGAAACCGGAGCUAAUACCGGAUAAUAUUUUGAACCGCAUGGUUCAAAAGUGAAAGACGGUCUUGCUGUCACUUAUAGAUGGAUCCGCGCUGCAUUAGCUAGUUGGUAAGGUAACGGCUUACCAAGGCAACGAUGCAUAGCCGACCUGAGAGGGUGAUCGGCCACACUGGAACUGAGACACGGUCCAGACUCCUACGGGAGGCAGCAGUAGGGAAUCUUCCGCAAUGGGCGAAAGCCUGACGGAGCAACGCCGCGUGAGUGAUGAAGGUCUUCGGAUCGUAAAACUCUGUUAUUAGGGAAGAACAUAUGUGUAAGUAACUGUGCACAUCUUGACGGUACCUAAUCAGAAAGCCACGGCUAACUACGUGCCAGCAGCCGCGGUAAUACGUAGGUGGCAAGCGUUAUCCGGAAUUAUUGGGCGUAAAGCGCGCGUAGGCGGUUUUUUAAGUCUGAUGUGAAAGCCCACGGCUCAACCGUGGAGGGUCAUUGGAAACUGGAAAACUUGAGUGCAGAAGAGGAAAGUGGAAUUCCAUGUGUAGCGGUGAAAUGCGCAGAGAUAUGGAGGAACACCAGUGGCGAAGGCGACUUUCUGGUCUGUAACUGACGCUGAUGUGCGAAAGCGUGGGGAUCAAACAGGAUUAGAUACCCUGGUAGUCCACGCCGUAAACGAUGAGUGCUAAGUGUUAGGGGGUUUCCGCCCCUUAGUGCUGCAGCUAACGCAUUAAGCACUCCGCCUGGGGAGUACGACCGCAAGGUUGAAACUCAAAGGAAUUGACGGGGACCCGCACAAGCGGUGGAGCAUGUGGUUUAAUUCGAAGCAACGCGAAGAACCUUACCAAAUCUUGACAUCCUUUGACAACUCUAGAGAUAGAGCCUUCCCCUUCGGGGGACAAAGUGACAGGUGGUGCAUGGUUGUCGUCAGCUCGUGUCGUGAGAUGUUGGGUUAAGUCCCGCAACGAGCGCAACCCUUAAGCUUAGUUGCCAUCAUUAAGUUGGGCACUCUAAGUUGACUGCCGGUGACAAACCGGAGGAAGGUGGGGAUGACGUCAAAUCAUCAUGCCCCUUAUGAUUUGGGCUACACACGUGCUACAAUGGACAAUACAAAGGGCAGCGAAACCGCGAGGUCAAGCAAAUCCCAUAAAGUUGUUCUCAGUUCGGAUUGUAGUCUGCAACUCGACUACAUGAAGCUGGAAUCGCUAGUAAUCGUAGAUCAGCAUGCUACGGUGAAUACGUUCCCGGGUCUUGUACACACCGCCCGUCACACCACGAGAGUUUGUAACACCCGAAGCCGGUGGAGUAACCUUUUAGGAGCUAGCCGUCGAAGGUGGGACAAAUGAUUGGGGUGAAGUCGUAACAAGGUAGCCGUAUCGGAAGGUGCGGCUG
rnacentral:rRNA from 1 species